rnacentral:tRNA from 1 species
GGCAAGAUGGCCGAGUGGUCUAAGGCGUUACGUUUAGGCCGUAAUGGGAAACCGCGUGGGUUCGAAUCCCACUCUUGUCA